rnacentral:rRNA from 1 species
GACGAACCGUGCGAACGUUGUUCGGAAUCACUGGGCUUAAAGGGCGCGUAGGCGGUCGACCAAGUCCGAGGUGAAAUCUUUCGGCUUAACCGGAAAAGUGCCUUGGAUACUGGCCGGCUGGAGGGAGGUAGGGGCAGGUGGAACUUCCAGUGGAGCGGUGAAAUGCGUUGAUAUUGGAAGGAACGCCGGUGGCGAAAGCGACCUGCUGGACCUCUUCUGACGCUGAGGCGCGAAAGCUAGGGGAGCAAACGG